UCUCCGUUGGUAAACCAGCGGAGGGAUCAUUGCUGGAACUGUAUCCGCAAGGACACAACCCCAGCUACCCUUUAUGAACUUAUUCUUAUAUCGUUGCCUCGGCGCUGAGCUAGGGGCUUCUUUCCAAGGAGCUCUCCCAUAGUCUCUCGGGACGAUAGAGCAAGCCCGCCGGCGGCCCUUCUAAACUCUUAUUUUUAUUACAUAUCUCUUCUAAGUUAUUCAAAACAAAAUGAAUCAAAACUUUCAACAACGGAUCUCUUGGUUCUGGCAUCGAUGAAGAACGCAGC
rnacentral:misc_RNA from 1 species